AUUAAAGUGGGAGCAAAAUCCGCAUUGUAUGAAAUAUACCAAAGAAUACACGGACGAGGUCACUGGACGGUUGACGAUAUGAUAUCACAUUUUAAAUCCUCAUGGAUUCUUAAUGAACCUAAGGGAUGUGAAGUAUGGAGAACCGAAAAUGUGAACAAUGUGAAUCAAACACCGAAUCAGAUGGCACAGGCGGAUCACUGGUUUGCCUGGCAGAGAAUGAAUGGUGUCACUCGAAAUCUCAUCAGAAUUACAAAGGACAUACC